GGUAGCUUAGUGGUAGAGUGCUUGCCUCACAGGCAUGAAGCUCUGGGUUCGAUUCCUCAGUACCA
rnacentral:tRNA from 1 species